NNCCCACCCCAAUUUUUUUUUUCUGGCAGAGCUUGCAAAUGAUGACUUUGGUCUGAGGCAAAAGAAUCCUCGCAGGCAAGUUGACAUUCCUGUUCCAUGCGGAAAAGUGAUAUCGGGAUGUGGGGUCUUCCAAUGCAAUAUGAAUUGUAUUAACCUCAAUAUAUGUACUGAUUGUUCUAAAAUGCUCUGUGCAGAUAUACGGAGAUGAAAUUUGACCAGUGAAGCAAGUAGAUAGUUGGAACCUCUUACAGUGUCCAGAUUAAGUCAAGUCUUUCCAGUCAAAAGUCUCUUGCAUCUGUUGGGAGUUGUGGAGUUUCUGAGCUGUUCCUUUGUUGCUGCAAGCCGUCUGGGUCCUUUGUGUUCUCCUGUUCUUAAUUUGGGGCACUUCGGGCUGCCGCAUAUCUGGGAUAUUUUAGGUAAUGGUUCUAUCAUUUGGCUUGGUUGUGAAGGUUGUGGGGUGUUGUAUACUUCCUUUUCAUCACAUUCUCCUUAAACUCAAGUGAUUUCAGAUUCUUUUGUGUCUUGUGUUAUUGCAUCACAAGGGAAGUUAUGAACAUCAACUGCAAAGCCUUCGGGGAAAAGGCAAUUGAUCAUGUUUUAUCCAUGGGGUCACAGAAAUUUCAAUUCUUGGUAGUUGUAGCUGCUAUGUUUUACAAAUAACUACUCUUUGUAUUCCAUCUCUAAAAGUUUUUUUAUUUUAAAAUUUGCAUGGAAAUGAGAGGCAACUGUUCUUAUCUCAUUAUCAUAAUUACUGGAGCAGAAAUAUCUAAAAUGUAACUUAUUUUGGCGAGGGUUGAAGAGCUAGGGGAAAAUUUUGAAAGUUUAAAUGGUCUUCAUAUUUACAUAAUUUUUACUGGCUUCAGUUAUUCCAUGAUUUGUCAUAAAAACAGUGCAUGUUUGGUACAUUAUACUGUGUUUGUUUGGGAGUGCUUCAAUUAUAAUUUAAGCAGCAGGUACCACGUAAUGUGUAGAUAAAAAGUGGGUAAUAACUUUU
rnacentral:lncRNA from 1 species